rnacentral:rRNA from 1 species
UACCAGCACCCCGAGUGGUCGGGACGAUUAUUGGGCCUAAAGCAUCCGUAGCCGGCCUUACAAGUCUUCCGUUAAAUCCACCUGCUUAACAGAUGGGCUGCGGAAGAUACUAUAGGGCUAGGAGGCGGGAGAGGCAAGCGGUACUCAGUGGGUAGGGGUAAAAUCCUCUGAUCCAUUGAAGACCACCAGUGGCGAAGGCGGCUUGCCAGAACGCGCUCGACGGUGAGGGAUGAAAGCUGGGGGAGCAAACCGG